GACGUAGGGGGCGAGCGUUGUCCGGAAUGACUGGGCGUAAAGGGCGUGUAGGCGGUGCGGUACGUGGGGUCGGAAAGGCGGCGGCUCAACCGGCGCAGGGGCUCCAAACGGCCACACUGGAGGGCAGGAGAGGUGCGCGGAAUUCCCGGUGGAGCGGUGAAAUGCGUAGAGAUCGGGAAGAACACCCGUGGCGAAGGCGGCGCACUGGCCUGGCCCUGACGCUGAGGCGCGACAGCGUGGGGAGCGAACGGG
rnacentral:rRNA from 1 species